UUAAUUAAAUUUUUCCAGUAUUUAAAUACACGAAGUUGAAGGAGCUAAUUAUUAUAUAUUUAUAGAUAAUAAAGUGUUGCAUAACUUAAUAAAUAAUAAUUAGGGGUGAUAGGCUUAUCAACUUCAACGAUAACUUGAUAAUCAUUAAAUGUAAAAGUACAAAAACACUUUUAAAAUGAUAAGGUUUUAAAAAGGAAAAUAAUAUACUUGAAAUAAAAUAUGUUCUGUUUAAUCACUAACAUAUUUAUAAAUAUAUAAUACAUUAAGUGUGUUUAUUUUUAUCUUUGAUUAAUGAAUAAAUAAUAUAUACAUAAAUAAUGUUAAUAUUAGUAAUAUAAAGUACAUAACAUGAACUCGGCAAUAAGUCUUUUAACUGUUUAUCAAAAACAUAGCUAUAUGAAUAUAUAUAUGGUAAUUUCUGCUCAAUGAAAUUUAAAUAGCCGCAGUACUCUGACUGUGCUAAGGUAGCGCAAUCAAUUGGCUUUUAAUUGGAGUCCUGUAUGAAAGAAAAUAUAAGGGGCUACUUUAUUUUUUGUAGUUAAUGAACUUACUUAAAAAGUGCGAAUUCUUUUAUAUAAAUAAUAGACGAGAAGACCCUAGAAAUUUCUAGAAAGACUUUUGUUGGGGCAACAAAGUAGCAUUAUAAUCUACUGUUAAUACACGUAAAAAAUAUUUUGUAAGAUUAAAUUACUCUAGGGAUAACAGCAUAAUUUAUAAAAGUUUGUGACCUCGAUGUUGGAUUAGGGCAUUUAACAUUUUAAAAAA
rnacentral:rRNA from 1 species